AACAACUGAUUGUUUCUCAUGAAUCUCUAAGCAAGAUUGUUGAUUCAUCCAUUCAUGGUCUUCAAAGUUAUUUGAUUGUU
rfam:Oryza nivara chromosome 2, whole genome shotgun sequence.